AGCCAUAUCAAGUUGAAACACUCGUUCCCGUACUAUCACCGAAGUUAAGCAACGUCGAGCUUGGUUAGAACUUAAAUGGGUGACUGCUUCGGAAUGCCACGUGCUGUAAG